rnacentral:rRNA from 1 species
GAUACGGACUGGCCAGCGGCCGCGGUAAGACGUAGGUGGCAAGCGUGAGCCUGAAUUAUUGGGCGUAAAGCGCGCGUAGGCGGUUUUUUAAGUCUGAUGUGAAAGCCCACGGCUCAACCGUGGAGGGUCAUUGGAAACUGGAAAACUUGAGUGCAGAAGAGGAAAGUGGAAUUCCAUGUGUAGCGGUGAAAUGCGCAGAGAUAUGGAGGAACACCAGUGGCGAAGGCGACUUUCUGGUCUGCAACUGACGCUGAUGUGCGAAAGCGUGGGGAUCAAACAGGAUUAGAUACCCCGGUAGUC